rnacentral:rRNA from 1 species
UCGCGCCCCCAGGUCAGGCGAGAACACCCGCUGAGUUUAAGCAUAUCACUAAGCGGAGGAAAAGAAACUUACAAGGAUUCCCCUAGUAACGGCGAGCGAACCGGGAUCAGCCCAGCAUGAAAAUCGGGCGGCANUGCCNUUCGA